GUCGGGCUCAUAACCCGA
rnacentral:tRNA from 1 species